GACGAACGCUGGCGGCGUGCCUAAUACAUGCAAGUUGAGCGCUGAAGGUUGGUACUUGUACCGACUGGAUGAGCAGCGAACGGGUGAGUAACGCGUGGGGAAUCUGCCUUUGAGCGGGGGACAACAUUUGGAAACGAAUGCUAAUACCGCAUAAAAACUUUAAACACAAGUUUUAAGUUUGAAAGAUGCAAUUGCAUCACUCAAAGAUGAUCCCGCGUUGUAUUAGCUAGUUGGUGAGGUAAAGGCUCACCAAGGCGAUGAUACAUAGCCGACCUGAGAGGGUGAUCGGCCACAUUGGGACUGAGACACGGCCCAAACUCCUACGGGAGGCAGCAGUAGGGAAUCUUCGGCAAUGGACGAAAGUCUGACCGAGCAACGCCACGUGAGUGAAGAAGGUUGUCGGAUCGUAAAACUCUGUUGGUAGAGAAGAACGUUGGUGAGAGUGGAAAGCUCAUCAAGUGACGGUAACUACCCAGAAAGGGACGGCUAACUACGUG
rnacentral:rRNA from 1 species